rnacentral:tRNA from 1 species
GUCCCUAUAGCUCAACGGAUAGAGCGCAACCCUCCGAAGGUUGAGGUCAAGGUUCAAUUCCUUGUAGGGGCA